rnacentral:lncRNA from 8 species
CAACGUAUCGCCAUGGUCCGUGCCAUAGUGAAACUUGCACUCAUGUAGAUCUGAAAUAAUUGGAUGUUAAAACUUGCCAGCCAAAUAGAAAAGCAAGGCGAAUCAAUUCAGCCAUUCUUAAAAGUCAGGAUAAACACCGCUUCCAUCAGAUCUGUUGCAAUAAAGAAGGUUUGACAGAUUAUAAAUCCACCCCAGUCCAACGGAUAAAAAUGUAAUGUUUAGAAAAUGACUCCCAUCUUCCGUUUCCAUUACACAUUUUUUUUGUUGGAACAUAUUGCUUUUGUCAAAUACCUAGGUCAAUGUUAACCCUACUUAGCUACUGAUAUAGCUAGCGACCCCAUUCAGAGGUAACUGAUUUAGCGCCUAUUGAUGAUAGUAGGAUCUUCGGACAGGGGGUGUUUUGUUAAGAGCCCCAACACUUGCUCUAAACAUUAACACUCAUCGCUUGCGGUACGUUUUUUAAAACACAAGGAACGUAUAUUUCAUAUCGGCAAGAAAAAAAAAUAUUAAUACAAACGUUAAAUUACAACACACCUUCAAAGGGUUAGUAUUCCCAGACAGCCAUAUCUCCAUGUUACAUCACUUAUUUAUGGAAGACAUAGGUGGCCACCUGUGCUAAUUAACUAUCUAGUGUUCUGUGAACACCUGUGUUUAUGCUUAACUGGGGAGGACGUGUAGUUUGUCAACUAGAGGCACACAACUUGUGGAUCUGUUCCAAACUGCUACAGUAAGGAAAUGAAGCCAGCGAACACCAAGAAUGGUGUCCCUGUACUCCAUUCAGCAAAAGAGGGGUGCAAACCCAAGAAAUUCACCCCAGAUGAGGUACUGGUACCAAAUCCCAGCUUCAAAGAAAAUCAAGGAACGAAAAGAAAGAGAAAAGCACUUCCUUUGAAAGUGGAAGGAAUAAUUGAAAAAGUCAAGGAGGAGAAGGAAGACAAGAAUGUAAGUGUUCAUUACACACAGUAUUUAGGCCAAAUAACCUAGGUGUCAUGUUUCAUUAGGCACCAAACGGAAGAGAACUGAUUGUAUAAUAUUGAAUCAGGGAGAGACUACCUCCAAGUUGUCCAAUAAAAAAAUGCUUGUUUUUCUUUUCCGUUGCGAAACGUUUGCUACGGCGUAUGUGUAGAGGACAUGAGUCGGUCAUGGUUGCUCAAGGUCACGUGAUGGGUAGCCCCUGCCUGCGACUUCUUCAAAAUCUAUUUCAGCCUUCAGGCCAAUGGGGGAUUUCCUCUUGGUCUAACAGUUCUUAUCCCCAACGUGGGGCCUGAUCUGUCGUGGGGCAGGAGAUCACAGGGGGUGACUGUAGCGGACUUGAGUGGUUGCUCAUGGUCACGUGAUCGGUAGCCCCACCUGCGACUUCAAAAUCAGUCGGUUCUAGUGCCAAUAGGGAAUUUCCUCUUGGUCUAAUGGUCAAGACGUUGGUUUCUCCCGCGGUAGACUCAUGUUCAUAUGUUACAUGUGGACUAAUGCAGAGGUUUUCAAACAUCUCCUCGGCGACCCCCAGGUAUUCCACGUAUUUGAACUAUUCCUGGGCUAGCACACCCGGUUCAACUUGUCAACAAAUGAUCAAGCCAAUGGUCAUGUUCCCCUGCUCAGACGUUGCAUGCAUCAACCAAUGGUUGUGUGCCAAGUCAUCGACUGCCGUCUGACACCAGAUAGCUAUAACAACAUAUUAUGUAGUUAGCUGAUAUGUAAAUUACCGAUCUAGGUGUUGUGGCAUACAUCUGAGCAGAGGACACGACCCUUGUUUAGGCGAUCAGGUGAGCUAGUUCAGGGCUAUAACAAUACUGUGAAACGACAGUGGGUCCAAGAGGAGACAUUUGAAAACUGCAUGAAUGAAUACAAUCCUGUUGGUGAUCUCACUUUAC